rnacentral:rRNA from 1 species
CCUACGGGCGGCUGCAGCAAGGAAUUUUCGGCAAUGGGCGCAAGCCUGACCGAGCAACGCCGCGUGCGGGAUGACGGCCUUCGGGUUGUAAACCGCUUUUGGGGGGGAAGAAACAGACGGUACCCCCCGAAUCAGCCCCGGCUAACUCUGUGCCAGCAGCCGCGGUAAGACAGAGGGGGCAAGCGUUGUCCGGAUUGACUGGGCGUAAAGCGCACGUAGGUGGUUGGUUGCGUGGUGUGUGAAAGCUCAGGGCUUAACCCUGAUAGGCCAUGCCA